rnacentral:rRNA from 1 species
AACGAACGCUGGCGGCAGGCCUAAUACAUGCAAGUCGAACGCCCCGCAAGGGGAGUGGCGCACGGGUGAGUAAUGCAGGGGAAUGUGCCCUUCGGUACGGAACAACACCGGGAAACUGGUGCUAAUACCGUAUAACAUCUACGGAUCAAAGAUUUAUCGCCGAAGGAUCAGCCCAUGUUGGAUUAGCUUGUUGGCGGGGUAACGGCCUACCAAGGCGACGAUCCAUAGCUGGUCUGAGAGGAUGAUCAGCCACACUGGGACUGAGACACGGCCCAGACUCCUACGGGAGGCAGCAGUAAGGAAUAUUGGACAAUGGGGGAAACCCUGAUCCAGCCAUGCCGCGUGAAUGAAGAAGGCCUUAGGGUUGUAAAGUUCUUUUAGGGAUGACGAUAAUGACGGUAGUCCCAGAAAAAGCUCCGGCUAACUCCGUGCCAGCAGCCGCGGUAA